rnacentral:rRNA from 1 species
GCCCUUCCUACGGGAGGCAGCAGCGUACGAACGAAGGCGAUAAAGCGGGCAAUCAGCAGCGCGGAAAGCCCGUGCUUAUGGAACAGAUGAUACGCGCGCUGGUGGUAGUGUGAGGGAAGGUGCGAUAGCCAGUUUUGUACGAUUCGCGUAUUACCCAGCCAGCGGCCCUGAAUAUAGCUUAGCCAGCAGCCGCGGUAAUACGGGAGGCAGCAGUCGCGGUAAUACGGGAGCCAGCAGCCGCGGUAAUACGGGAGCCAGCAGCCGCGGUAAUACGGGAGCCAGCAGCCGCGGUAAUACGGGAGCCAGCAGCCGCGGUAAUACGGGAGCCAGCAGCCGCGGUAAUACGGGAGCCAGCAGCCGCGGUAAUACGGGAGCCAGCAGCCGCGGUAAU